rnacentral:lncRNA from 1 species
AAAGAAUUCCAUUAACAAUAAUCAAAAUCCACAAUGGUGAAGAACUCCAAGAAGAAGAAAAUAAGACGUUGUGGCUUCGUCCUUUGUUGGACUCUCCCCCAAGGCGUAAACCCUAAUUGCUACUAUGAAAGUUACAUAAUAAAAGUCAAGUCCCCCUCUGACAUACGUCAGAAUCGCUUAAUACCAAUUACACAUCAUCACAUUUCUUAAUUAAAAAUAAAAUAAAUUACAGCAUUAGCAUCGCGCGCGGCCGUGCGUGGCUCUAGUGUAU